rnacentral:tRNA from 1 species
GAGGCUUUAGCUUAAUAAAAGUGUUUGAGUUGCAAUCAAAAGAUGUAAAUUAAAGUUUUGUAAGUGUU